GGUGGCUGUAUGAUCUUAAGUAAGCCCAUUUUGCUUCAAUUUUCUUAUCUAGAAAAUGGGGAUAAUAACACCCAUGUUAUAGAGUUAUUCUGAUGAUUUCUAAGAGUCUCAGAGACCUAGGAUCCACAAAAUCAAAACAACAAAACCAAGCCUUUGUGCACAUCUGUGGUUGUGACCAGUUGGAGAGACAUUAGGAGAUGAGAUACUAUGUUCACUCCUCACAGCUGUACCAGGGACCUGAGAUAUUCCGUCACUAUUCUAUGAGCCUGGGCUGGUGAAUGGUUCCUGCUUUCACUAUUCCAGAUGUCCAGCUCUGUACCUUGCUGCUCUCCUUAAAGCCUGCCUCCCUCUAGGGAGCUAUGGUGCAUUACUCACGAGUGACAGAACCAACGAGCUUCAUCUCCCAAGAGGCUGGUGCAUCUGUUUAAAGGAGCAGGCACUAGGCAGAGCAGCCCCCACCCCACCCUCCAUGGCAGAGUGCAGUGGGGGAAGAAGUUUUCAUAGAAAUGCUUUCUAUAAAGCAUUUUCAUAGAGAAAGCAGGUUCAUAUAGAAAGCACUGGCUGCUGGUUGGAGUGGAGAGAUUGAAGACCCUCAUCUAGGAUCAAGCAACCCCCAGAAAACAAUUUUAAACAUGUCCAUUCAGACAAAAGGAGUCCAAAACCAUAAGAUCCUCUCAGCAUCCUGAACUAAUGUCCAGCUGUUAUCUCGGGAUGGGAUUUCACCAUGUUGUCCAAGCUGGUUUUGAACUCCUGGGGUCAAGAAAUCCACCUGCUUCGGCCUCCCACAGUGCUGGGAUUACAGAUGGGGAAACUGAGGCACAGAGAGGUUAGAGAUAUGCCUGAAGCCACACAGCUUGCAAGUGGUGGAUCUGGGAUUUGAACUUGUCGAUCUGGCUGCAGAGCUGAGCUCUUGGAGACUAGGUUUUACUGCCUAGUAGCAUGUAAGCCUGGAACUGCCGGCAGUCAUUUUGUAAGUUUGCCGAGUGAACCUCAAUGAGCAUGAAGCAGAGAGGAAAGCAGUACUAAGAGAUGCAAAAGAGUCUGUGUUCCAGCAAUGGGAUCUGAAGUCCUGGAUCAAACCUUACCUGGAGACAAGAUUUACCCAUCAGACAUGCCAGUUAUAAGACCCAAAUUUACCCUUUUUGGGGGAUUGAGUUUGAAUGAGUAUUUUUGUUUGUUUGUUUUGGCAUCAGAAAGACUCCUGAUUAAUACACAGUGUGACGCUGACCAAGAUGCUUCCUUUCUCUAGGACUCAAUUUUCUUAUCUGUAAAGUAAAGGGUUCAUCAACAU
rnacentral:lncRNA from 1 species